rnacentral:lncRNA from 1 species
GUAACUUAUAAAAUGGCGGCGUCCACAUGUAUACGUCCUUCCCGGGAUUAGCCAGGCAGCUAGAGGAUGACUUAAUAAGGAGAGUGGAGAAACUGGCCAAUUAAUGAACAUGCCCUGAAGGAAGACCACUGAAGCCACCGCAGACAGCAGAACCUCAAUCAGCUUGAAAGAGAAUGGGCUCAACAAAAGAGCAAACUGUCAACAGUGAUGAUGAGGUGCAACAUUCAACUUCACAGUUCUUGGAAUCGACUCUUCGGUAAGAUUCAGUUCUGCAGAGGCCUUCUUACUUUCUGUCCUUUCAUGAUAGCUGUAGCAAGUCACUCUGAGAGGAGACCUUAACAAAAGGCAGCAGACUAUCCUGUAUCCUCAUCCUGUAUCCUCAUAUUCACUACUGUACACUGUACUGGUUGAGUUUGAAAGUCCUUCAGCAACUGACAAGCUGCAGCAAAGCUUGUUGUUUUUUUGAGAAAUGUUUCUCUCUGUCCAGUGGUUUCAUUUCCUGAGACUCAGAUAAACGUGGAUUUUCAGUGCUUAA